UAACGCGUAUACAACCUACCUUUUAGCGGGGAAUAGCCCAGGGAAACUUGGAUUAAUGCCCCAUAGUAUAUAGACUUCUCCUGAAGUUUAUAUUAAACAUUUAUGGCUAUUAGAUGGGUAUGCGUCCUAUUAGUUAGUUGGUAAGGUAACGGCUUACCAAGGCAGCGAUAGGUAGGGGUCCUGAGAGGGAGAUCCCCCACACUGGUACUGAGACACGGACCAGACUCCUACGGGAGGCAGCAGUGAGGAAUAUUGGACAAUGGGCGAGAGCCUGAUCCAGCCAUGCCGCGUGCAGGAAGACUGCCCUAUGGGUUGUAAACUGCUUUUACAGAGGAAGAACCACCCCCACGUGUGGGGGUUUGACGGUACUCUGCGAAUAAGGAUCGGCUAACUCCGUGCCAGCAGCCGCGGUAAUACGGAGGAUCCAAGCGUUAUCCGGAAUCAUUGGGUUUAAAGGGUCCGUAGGCGGGCAGUUAAGUCAGUGGUGAAAGUCUUCCGCUCAACGGGAGAACUGCCAUUGAUACUGAUUGUCUUGAGUUAUUAUGAAGUGGUUAGAAUGAGUAGUGUAGCGGUGAAAUGCAUAGAUAUUACUCAGAAUACCGAUUGCGAAGGCAGAUCACUAAUAAUAUACUGACGCUGAUGGACGAAAGCGUAGGUAGCGAACAGGAUUAGAUACCCUGGUAGUCUACGCCGUAAACGAUGGUUACUAGCUGUUCGGCCCAAUUGAGGGCUGAGUGGUUAAGCGAAAGUGAUAAGUAACCCACCUGGGGAGUACGUUCGCAAGAAUGAAAC
rnacentral:rRNA from 1 species